rnacentral:tRNA from 1 species
UUAUCUCUGGUUUAUUUAGAAUAUUAGCUUGUCGUGUUAGGGGAGUAUGUUGUGUACGGGGUAAG